rnacentral:rRNA from 1 species
AACGAACGUUAGCGGCGCGCCUAACACAUGCAAGUCGCACGAGAAAGGGCUUCGGCCCCGGUACAGUGGCGCACGGGUGAGUAACACGUAGAUCAUCUCCCCUCGAGUGGUGGAUAACUCUCCGAAAGGAGAGCUAAUACAGCAUGAGACCACGGCUUCGUUGAAGCUGCGGCCAAAGCAGGCCUCUACACGUAAGCUUGCGCUUGAGGAUGAGUCUGCGGCCCAUCAGCUAGUUGGUAGGGUAAUGGCCUACCAAGGCUAAGACGGGUAGCUGGUCUGAGAGGAUGAACAGCCACACUGGAACUGAGACACGGUCCAGACUCCUACGGGAGGCAGCAGUGGGGAAUCUUGCGCAAUGGGCGAAAGCCUGACGCAGCGACGCCGCGUGAGCGAUGAAGGCCUUCGGGUUGUAAAGCUCUGUGGGGAGGAAAGAAUAAGGGUUGGCUAAUAUCCAGCUCGAUGACGGUACCUCCUUAGCAAGCACCGGCUAACUCUGUGCCAGCCGCCGCAGUAA